rnacentral:rRNA from 1 species
AGAGUUUGAUCCUGGCUCAGGAUGAACGCUAGCGGCAGGCCUAAUACAUGCAAGUCGAGGGGUAGAGGCUGCUUGCAGCCUUGAGACCGGCGCACGGGUGCGUAACGCGUAUGCAACCUGCCCAAACCUGGGGGAUAGCCCGGAGAAAUCCGGAUUAAUACCGCAUAAAACCACAGCACGGCAUCGUGCAAUGGUCAAACAUUCAUGGGGUUUGGAUGGGCAUGCGUGCCAUUAGUUAGUUGGCGGGGUAACGGCCCACCAAGACCGCGAUGGCUAGGGGAUCUGAGAGGAUGGCCCCCCACACUGGUACUGAGACACGGACCAGACUCCUACGGGAGGCAGCAGUAAGGAAUAUUGGUCAAUGGGCGCAAGCCUGAACCAGCCAUGCCGCGUGCAGGAAGACGGCCCUCCGGGUUGUAAACUGCUUUUAUUCGGGAAUAAACCUUUCUACGUGUAGGAAGCUGAAUGUACCGAAGGAAUAAGGAUCGGCUAACUCCGUG